CGGGGAUUCCCGGAACUUCCGGUACAGUCUCAGAUGACACUCUCACUGCGACGUCACUUGGGAAGUUUACAACGACUGAUCCAGAUACCAAGUGUUCUGUGACGUCACCUGCAACAACCGUUUACGAGAUUAGAAAUGUGACGUUACCGACCAACCCACAGCAACCGGAGUUCGAAGUUUGGAUCGGCACCGCCGUUACGCAAGCGUCUAUCAACUUCAAUAGCCCGGCGGUUCCGUUGCCGUUAACGAUCACGUGCACUGACGGAAACCCCGCUAACGUCAUUACGGGAACGUUUAACGUCAACAUUGUUAACGCGCCACCAGCUUUCACCGCACUGCCUGCGAAUGGAACUACCCUUUUCGACGGUCUGAAGACGGCCGCUGAGACCCUCCACACGUUCAGCGUCGCCGAUAGCGACGACCCCUCACAUGUUCCGCAAGAGCUCCGGAAGCCACCCUUUUUGAAGUGGUGGCCGGAGUCGCACCUGGGUUUACAAUUAACGUAAGGACCGGGGUUACGCUGAAAGCAGCAAACGGACCUUAUGUGAUCAACGUCGACUGCUCAGAUGGCACCAAUGCCGUCACUGAAUCGUUCACUCAACCCGUGAUCGAUACGCCACCGACGUUUGUAUCCGGGAUUCCCGGAAGUUCCCCUACCGUCUCUGACGCCACUGUCGUUCAGACGCUGCUUGGGAAGUUCACAACGACGGACCCUGAUACCACGUGUUCUGUGACGUCACCUGUCUCCACCGUGUAUGAGGUCAGAAAAGUGACGUCACCCGGCGAACAC